GUUACUCUUUUUUUUCUUUUUCUUUCUCUCUUUCUCCAAGAAUUUAAUUUUCUUUUUUUUUAAAAAGGAGAAAGAUAAUUUCCAACCUUGGCUUGAAAAAAUAACAC
rnacentral:ribozyme from 13 species